rnacentral:rRNA from 1 species
UGGGGAAUAUUGCACAAUGGGCGCAAGCCUGAUGCAGCCAUGCCGCGUGUGUGAAGAAGGCCUUCGGGUUGUAAAGCACUUUCAGCGGGGAGGAAGGCGAUAAGGUUAAUAACCUUUGCUCAUUGACGUUACCCGCAGAAGAAGCACCGGCUAACUCCGUGCCAGCAGCCGCGGUAAUACGGAGGGUGCAAGCGUUAAUCGGAAUUACUGGGCGUAAAGCGCACGCAGGCGGUUUGUUAAGUCAGAUGUGAAAUCCCCGGGCUCAACCUGGGAACUGCAUCUGAUACUGGCAAGCUUGAGUCUCGUAGAGGGGGGUAGAAUUCCAGGUGUAGCGGUGAAAUGCGUAGAGAUCUGGAGGAAUACCGGUGGCGAAGGCGGCCCCCUGGACGAAGACUGACGCUCAGGUGCGAAAGCGUGGGGAGCAAACAGG